AACGAACGCUGGCGGCAGGCCUAACACAUGCAAGUCGAGCGAGGACUUCGGUCCUAGCGGCGGACGGGUGAGUAACGCGUGGGAACGUGCCCUUUGCUUCGGAAUAGCCCUGGGAAACUGGGAGUAAUACCGGAUGAGCCCUUUGGGGGAAAGAUUUAUCGGCGAAGGAUCGGCCCGCGUUGGAUUAGGUAGUUGGUGGGGUAAUGGCCUACCAAGCCGACGAUCCAUAGCUGGUUUGCGAGUAUGAUCAGCCACACUGGGACUGAGACACGGCCCAGACUCCUACGGGAGGCAGCAGUGGGGAAUCUUAGACAAUGGGGGAAACCCUGAUCUAGCCAUGCCGCGUGAGCGAUGAAGGCCUUAGGGUUGUAAAGCUCUUUCAGCUGGGAAGAUAAUGACGGUACCAGCAGAAGAAGCCCCGGCUAACUCCGUG
rnacentral:rRNA from 1 species